UAAGGGCACCACAAGAACGCGUGGAGCAUGUGGCUUAAUUUGACUCAACGCGGGAAAUCUUACCGGGUCCGGACACACUGAGGAUUGACAGGCGCAUGUAGUUUUUCUUUUUUUCUUUCGGGAGGAAAAGUGAAACUACUAUAAAUAUGCUAGUCCUUUCAUGAUUGUGUGAUAGGUGGUGCAUGGCCGUUCUUAGUUCGUGGAGUGAUCUGUCUGCUUAAUUGCGUUUCAGAAUAUAGGUUCUUAGAGGUUUUGUUGUUAUAGUGUGACCGUAGUUUCUUCGGAAAUUAUGUUGUCCCUGUAACUCAGCCCAUGAACCUUGAAGGUAACGAACGUGACCGCAACCUCUUGUUGCCUUUCUUUCAUCCCUUUGGAUGAACUACUGCCUCGUGAUUUUUUCUGUUAUUAAAACAACAGAAGUCAUGGGGAUUAGUAGAGCGGAGCGCAAACUAGAGGGACCGCCGACCUUUUUAAAACGGAGGAAGGUUGCGGCAAUAACAGGUCUGUGAUGCCCUUAGAUGUUCCGGGCUGCACACGUGCUACAAUGAUUGUUGCAGUGAGCAUCUUAAAAGUUCGUGCAGUAGAAAUUUUCGGAUUUUUACUGUUUAACGACAUACCUAUUCGAAAGUAAGUAGGUAAUCAAUUCGAAGUAACGAUUUCCUUUGCACAGUCAUAUAUCUCAAAAGUUUUUUUUCUUUUUAGAAAAUUAAUUUUUGGGAUGUGCUUCCAUUAAUUCAUGGUGGGGACAGACCAUUGAAAUUGUUGGUCUCGCUUUAACUAGGAAUGCCUUGUAGGAGUCAUGGUUCAACAGACCACUCCGAAUAUGUCCCUGCCCUUUGUACACACCGCCCGUCA
rnacentral:rRNA from 1 species